rnacentral:rRNA from 1 species
UGCGUAGGGUGCAAGCGUUAAUCGGAAUUACUGGGCGUAAAGCGUGCGCAGGCGGUUUUGUAAGUCUGAUGUGAAAUCCCCGGGCUCAACCUGGGAAUUGCAUUGGAGACUGCAAGGCUAGAAUCUGGCAGAGGGGGGUAGAAUUCCACGUGUAGCAGUGAAAUGCGUAGAGAUGUGGAGGAACACCGAUGGCGAAGGCAGCCCCCUGGGUCAAGAUUGACGCUCAUGCACGAAAGCGUGGGGAGCAAACAGG